rnacentral:piRNA from 1 species
CCUGACAAUAGGAGAUGGUUCUGCCUU